rnacentral:rRNA from 1 species
UACGGGGGGGGCAAGCGUUGUUCGGAAUUACUGGGCGUAAAGGGCUCGUAGGCGGCCAACUAAGUCAGACGUGAAAUCCCUCGGCUUAACCGGGGAACUGCAUCUGAUACUGGAUGGCUUGAGAUUGGGAGAGGGAUGCGGAAUUCCAGGUGUAGCGGUGAAAUGCGCAGAUAUCAGGAGGAACACCGGUGGCGAAGGCGGUUCUCUGGGCAUUACCUGACGCUGAGGAGCGAAAGUGUGGGGAGCGAACAGG